rnacentral:rRNA from 1 species
UACGUAGGGUGCAAGCGUUGUCCGGAAUUAUUGGGCGUAAAGAGCUCGUAGGCGGUUUGUCGCGUCUGCCGUGAAAGUCCGGGGCUCAACCCCGGGCGUGCAGUGGAUACGGGCUGGCUAGAGGCAGGCAGGGGAGAACGGAAUUCCCGGUGUAGCGGUGAAAUGCGCAGAUAUCGGGAGGAACACCGGUGGCGAAGGCGGUUCUCUGGGCCUGUACUGACGCUGAGGAGCGAAAGCGUGGGGAGCGAACAGG